UGGGGAAUAUUGGACAAUGGGCGAAAGCCUGAUCCAGCCAUGCCGCGUGUGUGAAGAAGGUCUUCGGAUUGUAAAGCACUUUAAGUUGGGAGGAAGGGCAGUAAGCGAAUACCUUGCUGUUUUGACGUUACCGACAGAAUAAGCACCGGCUAACUCUGUGCCAGCAGCCGCGGUAAUACAGAGGGUGCGAGCGUUAAUCGGAUUUACUGGGCGUAAAGCGUGCGUAGGCGGCUAAUUGAGUCGGAUGUGAAAUCCCCGAGCUUAACUUGGGAAUUGCAUUCGAUACUGGUUAGCUAGAGUGUGGGAGAGGAUGGUAGAAUUCCAGGUGUAGCGGUGAAAUGCGUAGAGAUCUGGAUGAAUACCGAUGGCGAAGGCAGCCAUCUGGCCUAACACUGACGCUGAGGUACGAAAGCAUGGGGAGCAAACAGG
rnacentral:rRNA from 1 species